UACGAUGCUGUUGCCAGUGAUGCCAGCGAUUGCUGCAGCCAAGCGUGCAACAGAUAGGGCGGCAUCUACUUUUGCUCUGUGCAAUCGAAGCUCCUCUUUCUUCCUGUCCUUGUACCACUUGAGUAGGCUAGCUAAAGGAAGUCAGAGGCUGCUGGGCUCCAUGAGCGAGACAGAUACUCCAUUGCACUAAUUGGGCUGCCAAGGACGUCCAGAGACUGGCAACACAAUGAAGGUUUGCAACAGGCCAUGCGUACCACUUUUUAAUAAUCAGUGAAGGUCUAUGCAAGAGGAAUUCCAUUUCCACCAUGCCCAAUAGUUGCAUCACCAUCAGGGAAAAAUAGAAGGAAACCCACAAAAAAGAAAAUGAUAGGUGCUGUACCAGAUGAGGACUGUAUGUGAAU